rnacentral:rRNA from 1 species
GACGAACGCUGGCGGCGUGCUUAACACAUGCAAGUCGAACGAAGAGCGAUGGAAGCUUGCUUCUAUCAAUCUUAGUGGCGAACGGGUGAGUAACGCGUAAUCAACCUGCCCUUCAGAGGGGGACAACAGUUGGAAACGACUGCUAAUACCGCAUACGAUCUAAUCUCGGCAUCGAGGAUAGAUGAAAGGUGGCCUCUACAUGUAAGCUAUCACUGAAGGAGGGGAUUGCGUCUGAUUAGCUAGGUGGAGGGGUAACGGCCCACCAAGGCGAUGAUCAGUAGCCGGGCGGAGAGGAUGAACGGCCACAUUGGGACUGAGACACGGCCCAGACUCCUACGGGAGGCAGCAGUGGGGAAUCUUCCGCAAUGGACGAAAGUCUGACGGAGCAACGCCGCGUGAGUGAUGACGGCCUUCGGGUUGGAAAGCUCUGUUAAUCGGGACGAAAGGCCUUCUUGCGAACAGUUAGAAGGAUUGACGGUACCGGAAUAGAAAGCCACGGCUAACUACGUG